AAGGCCCACCAAACUCAACAAAACAAACAAUCGAAAAUUCAAGACACAACAAACGUUUUGAAUUUGUUGUUUGUUUUGUAAAAGAAAAAAAAAAAAAAAGCAAACAAUACA
rnacentral:ribozyme from 1 species